ACGCUGGCGGCGUGCCUAAUACAUGCAAGUCGAACGCACAGCGAAAGGUGCUUGCACCUUUCAAGUGAGUGGCGAACGGGUGAGUAACACGUGGACAACCUGCCUCAAGGCUGGGGAUAACACUUGGAAACAGAUGCUAAUACCGAAUAAAACUUAGUGUCGCAUGACACAAAGUUAAAAGGCGCUUCGGCGUCACCUAGAGAUGGAUCCGCGGUGCAUUAGUUAGUUGGUGGGGUAAAGCCCUACCCAAGACAAUGAUGCAUAGCCGAGUUGAGAGACUGAUCGGCCACAUUGGGACUGAGACACGGCCCAAACUCCUACGGGAGGCUGCAGUAGGGAAUCUUCCACAAUGGGCGAAAGCCUGAUGGAGCAACGCCGCGUGUGUGAUGAAGGCUUUCGGGUCGUAAAGCACUGUUGUAUGGGAAGAACAGCUAGAAUAGGAAAUGAUUUUAGUUUGACGGUACCAUACCAGAAAGGGACAGCUAAAUACGUGCCAGCAGCCGCGGUAAUACGUAUGUCCCGAGCGUUAUCCGGAUUUAUUGGGCGUAAAGCGAGCGCAGACGGUUUAUUAAGUCUGAUGUGAAAGCCCGGAGCUCAACUCCGGAAUGGCAUUGGAAACUGGUUAACUUGAGUGCAGUAGAGGUAAGUGGAACUCCAUGUGUAGCGGUGGAAUGCGUAGAUAUAUGGAAGAACACCAGUGGCGAAGGCGGCUUACUGGACUGCAACUGACGUUGAGGCUCGAAAGUGUGGGUAGCAAAC
rnacentral:rRNA from 1 species